CCUACGGGUGGCUGCAGUGGGGAAUAUUGGGCAAUGGACGAAAGUCUGACCCAGCCAUGCCGCGUGAAUGAUGAAGGCUUUAGGGUUGUAAAGUUCUUUCACCGAUGAAGAUAAUGACGGUAGUCGGAGAAGAAGCCCCGGCUAACUUCGUGCCAGCAGCCGCGGUAAUACGAAGGGGGCUAGCGUUGUUCGGAAUUACUGGGCGUAAAGCGAGCGUAGGUUGCUCAACAAGUCAGUGGUGAAAGCCCAGAGCUUAACUCUGGAACUGCCAUUGA
rnacentral:rRNA from 1 species